GCGCCAAUAGCUCAACUAGGCAGAGCAGCGGACUCUUAAUCCGGAGGUUGAAGGUUCGAUUCCUUCUUGGCGCA
rnacentral:tRNA from 1 species